AAGUCGUAACAAGGUCUCCGUUGGUGAACCAGCGGAGGGAUCAUUACAGAGUUCUACAAGACUCCCAAAACCAUUGUGAACAUACCCGUCAGCGUUGCUUCGGCGGGCGGCCCCUCCCUGGGGCCGCUGCCUCCCUCACGGGGGGUGCCCGCCGGGGGUUACGAAACUCUUUUGUAUUUUAGUGGCCUCUCUGAGAAAACAAGCAAAUAAGUUAAAACUUUCAACAACGGAUCUCUUGGUUCUG
rnacentral:misc_RNA from 1 species